UGGAAUUCCUCUGCCUUCUUUACCGCUGAAAAUGUUGAGCUCCUCUUUCUUCAAUCUUCAAUUCAUCUCCUUUUGUUGUGGGUGAUGAAUUAUCUUCACUCUCUUUUGUGAUCUUUCUUCUUGCUCAGCUUGCAGAAGUGUGUGUUCCAUUGGAUAUCCUUUAGUUCUGAAGUACCUCAUAAGAUAGCUAGAAUAAUGUAUCUCAACUUUGUCAAUCUGUUUGAAGUACAAUAGGAGAAAAACAAGUUGCUCCCGACCUCUAUCUUUCAGAUCUCCUAACUAUGAGCAAGUGCUAAAUUACUGAAUCAGUUCCUCUGUUCUCAAUUUUUUAUUGGUAACCCUUUUUGUUGGCUGAUGUAGCUUAGGCUAGUUAGCAAUCUCAUAGUUAUUUUUCUCCUAUGGAGACCACAAACUAUAUUAUACAUGUAAUAACUGUGAGACACCGUGGUCUUUCUUAAUCCCCUCCCCAUGCUUAGUUAUGCGUGUUGUUUAUGUUCCUUGUUUUGACCCUUAUUGAUGGAAUUUGCUACUUGUCUAUGUUUAUGAUCCCCUUUCCUUUGCUUGGUAGC